CGCCGAACUGAAACAUCUAAGUAGGCGGAGGAAGAGAAAACAAGAGUGAUUCCGAGAGUAGUGGCGAGCGAAAUCGGAACAGCCCAAACCGUUGUUGUUUAGGCAAUGACGGGGUUGUAGGACCACAAUGUUCUUUGCGCGACGAACCGGAAGCAGUUGGAAAGCUGCACGAUAUGGGUGACAGUCCCGUACGGGCA
rnacentral:rRNA from 12 species